ACAUCGGUAGCACAGUGGUUAGUGCAGAUUGCCGGAAAUAGGAAGACGCGGGUUCAAUUCCUGUCCGAUGUC
rfam:Nippostrongylus brasiliensis genome assembly, scaffold: NBR_scaffold0002871